GAUGAACGCUGGCGGCGUGCCUAAUACAUGCAAGUCGAGCGAACCACUUCGGUGGUGAGCGGCGAACGGGUGAGUAACACGUAGGUGAUCUGCCCAUCAGACGGGGACAACGAUUGGAAACGAUCGCUAAUACCGGAUAGGACGAAAGUUUAGAGGUGCUUCUGGCACCGCUGAUGGAUGAGCCUGCGGCGCAUUAGCUAGUUGGUAGGGUAAAGGCCUACCAAGGCGACGAUGCGUAGCCGACCUGAGAGGGUGAACGGCCACACUGGGACUGAGACACGGCCCAGACUCCUACGGGAGGCAGCAGUAGGGAAUCUUCGGCAAUGGGCGAAAGCCUGACCGAGCAACGCCGCGUGAAUGAUGAAGGCCUUCGGGUUGUAAAAUUCUGUUAUAAGGGAAGAACGACUUUAGUAGGAAAUGGCUAGAGUGUGACGGUACCUUAUGGGAAAGCCACGGCUAACUACGUGCCAGCAGCCGCAGUAA
rnacentral:rRNA from 1 species